CCCUUAGAUGUUCUGGGCCGCACGCGCGCUACACUGAUGCAUUCAACGAGCCUAUCCUUGACCGACAGGUCCGGGUAAUCUUUGAAUCUGCAUCGUGACGGGGAUAGAUUAUUGCAAUUAUUAAUCUUCAACGAGGAAUGCCUAGUAGGCGCAAGUCAUCAGCUUGCGUCGAUUACGUCCCUGCCCUUUGUACACACCGCCCGUCGCUACUACCGAUUGAAUGGUUUAGUGAGAUCUUCGGAUUGGCGCCACUGCGGCUCAGCAAUGGGCUCGGUGGAUGCCGAAAAGUUGAUCAAACUUGAUCAUUUAGAGGAAGUAAAAGUCGUAACA
rnacentral:rRNA from 1 species